GGAAAUCUCACCAGGCCCGGACACUGGAAGGAUUGACAGAUUGAUAGCUUUUUCUUGAUUCGGUGGGUGGUGGUGCAUGGCCGUUCUUAGUUGGUGGAGCGAUCUGUCUGGUUAAUUCCGAUAACGAACGAGACCCCAACCUGCUAACUAGCCCUCGGGUCCUGCUUCUGUUGGGCCCGACGGAAUGAUUCGCUUCUUAGAGGGACUCGCGGCGCCUAGCCGCACGAAGGGGGGCGAUAA
rnacentral:rRNA from 1 species